rnacentral:rRNA from 1 species
UACGGAGGGGGCUAGUGUUGCUCGGAAUUACUGGGCGUAAAGCGCGUGUAGGCGGGAAGAUAAGUCGGGUGUGAAAUUCCUGGGCUCAACCUAGGAACUGCAUCCGAAACUGCCUUUCUGGAGUGAUGGAGAGAAGAGCGGAAUUCCCGGUGUAGAGGUGAAAUUCGUAGAUAUCGGAAGGAACACCAGUGGCGAAGGCGGCUCUCUGGCCAUCAACUGACGCUGAGACGCGAAAGCGUGGGGAGCAAACAGG